GACGAGUGUGUGAAGUCGGGUGUGUGUGUGGACGGCCGCUGUGUGAACACUGACGGCUCCUUCCAGUGCCAAUGUCAAACCGGCUUCACCACCAACCCAGAGAGGACCGCCUGCCUCGACGUUGAUGAGUGCGUCCGGUCCGGCGGCUCCGUGUGCGUGUCACAGCGAUGUGAGAAUACGAUUGGCUCGUACCGCUGCCUCACUUCCUGUGAGCCGGGUUUCCAGGUGAUGCAGACCGGCGGCUGUGUGGACGUUAACGAGUGCUCCAAUGAGACGCUGUGUGGGCGUCACGCCUUCUGUCAGAACCUGGUGGGGACCUACAUGUGUGUGUGUGACCGGGGCUUCACCUCCACCGCUGAUGGGAAGACCUGUGUGGGUACGUGUCUGUCCUUACUCACCUGUGUCUGCAGGUGUCGGGGAGUUCUACUGCUUUGUGUUUUAACCAGGAGCCAAACCUCCGGUUCUUUAAGUGAAGUCAGAGCUUCAUGUG